GUCUAGUUCUUCUGGUGGGUCUAUGGAUCCUUGUACCUCCAUCUUUCACCCUUGAACAUAAACACAAAUGUGAUCUGAGGGUCGAGAUGGACUUGGAUGUGUUGUCUUAGGAUCCUGGAAUUGAGCCAGCACAUGGACCACCCCAAGUGUAGGUCGAUCGACCGUGCCUUGGUGGGUCUAGGGGCUCAUUUUCUCCCAAAUGUAAGUGUUCCUACAUCCAAAUACUUAGAGCAUAAGUGGAACCUCUUAGUGAUAAAAGAUGCCUAUGCUAUGCCAUUCUUCCACUAUUUCUGGCCUGUUGACAGUGUUUUCAUGUGUGGAUUUUAUAGCUUAUCCACCAUCAACAAGAUCCCCCAAGCUUAACCUUUGCUCUUCCUGAGCAAAUAACUAAACUUAGUCUCGGUGGAUCAGGAGUUGCUGCAAUGUCAACAUUUCAAGAGUACCAUGUACGCAACAAAUUAUUUCUCAUAAGUAUGGAAAAUUUAGCUAUGAAGACUUACCCAUUUACCUUAGUUCUUUGUGGGGCUUUUAGCUUUUCCUUUGUCUCAGGCAGUUGAGAGAUAGAACAGUUAGAUAUAGAGCACCACUUUCUUAUUCUUAGCGAGUUUCAUACCAGAGGUUUUUUUUUUCAAUUUUUUCACAAGAAAACUAGGUUCCUCAAUUGAUUUCUCUCAAUCUCUCAAGUGGAUAAUGUACCUUACCAAAGGCAUUGCUUUUCUCACAACCUAUAGCUAAGGCUUUAUGUGGAGUUUCAGUAGGUGUGGAAGGUGGACAUACUUGCUUCUUGUAUGGGGAUAAAUCAAAAACCAAACUAAGUUAAGAUCAAAGGCAUAUGCUAGACUGAGACGUGCAAGUGUGUGGAAUGGAUCCUAUCACUAAACUAUACUCCUUUUAUUGCAUGAUCUUUCUCUCUUAGAAUAUUUUGAGACAUGGAUACCAACUUUUCCUUAUACCAAACAUUUGGGGACUUUUGACAAGGGUGCGCCCCCUUUUUUGGCCAUGUCUCUCUAAAAAGGAUACUGAGAGAAAGAUCAAUUUAAAAAAUGGAUGGAGUAUUUUCCUAGCAAAAAUUUGCUUCCUCCUAGUAUAGGAGAAGAGCAAUUUUUUUGGUGGAUGGAAGGGUGCAUGUUGCACGCAAUCCUCAGUGUAAGAAUUGGCUUUAUUUGGUGAGUGCAAAGUGUGUCUCAGUCUAAACAUAUGAGUCCAAUCUAAGUUAAGUUCAAUCCUUGACAAAACCCCAACAAUUGCAAGCAGCUAUGGCUAAAGUAUGUAUAUAUCUAUGGAGCAUAAAUAUUUGGCAUUGGUAGGAAUUUUAUAAUCAUUGAGGAACCAUUGUUUGUAGAUAUUUUCCAAAUAAAUUCUCUGAUAAUCAUGCAAGCUUAGAAUAAAAAUAUAGCAGCUCUUGUCUUACUAUCUCAUAUCUCACAACAACUUAUACGUAGUUUUAGCACUUGCAACCCACAGAAAGAAAUCAGGUUCAUGGUUGUCUUAUGUGAGCCAAGUGAUCCAUACUUAGAAAAAUACUAAGUUGAGUGCUAGAUACUAGAGAAAUAUUAACAAAGCAACAAUUCAUCAUUUCCAAGAGAAAGAUGGCAUGCAUGUCAAAUUUUAUUUAUUUAUUUUUAUUUAUUUUUAUUAUUUUUAUUUUAUUAUUUAUUAUUUUAUUAUUUUAUUUUUUUGCACGAAGCAUACAACUGAAAUUGAAAUAAAUUUAAAAGAGCCAGAAUACUAACCUUGGUGGGGGAGAGGAUCUCCCCCAAGCUUGUCUCUUCUCAUGCCACCUCACUGAUAUGGUGGAUAGUUAUAUGGAUAUGGUGGAGGAUAUGAGGCUGCUGAGGAUAUGGUGGAGGAUAUGAGGCUGCUGAGGAUAUGGUGGAGGAUAUGAGGCUGCUGAGGAUAUGGUGGAGGAUACUGUGGAGAUGGGUCUUGCUGCCGUUGUGGUGGCAUAGGGAUGAAUGGAAUAUUUGGUGGUAGUGGCCUCUGAUGGUGUGCAUACAUCCUGUUCCAGCCUAUGUUGUGUUGGACUUGAAGAUCUAGGAGGGCUUGCUGGGUUUGAGUUGCAGUGUGUUGCAUGGCCUCAUGUCCAAUGUGCAGCACCCCAAUUUGUUGGGUCAGCAUGGCCAUGUCAAUGCGUUGAGCACGGGGCUAUGAAUCCUGCAAAGAAGAAAAAGACAUACGACCACUGUGGGCACCAGACCUGCGUCCCAAAUGGGACGUCUGCAUCCCACUAAAACUUCCCUUAUAGUCACUGUCAUCAUCAUCACCUGCAGCUUGUGCUCUUGCACGUGUGGUUGGUCCUGCAUGCCUCAUAUGUCUUUUGCACAUAGGAAGUAAUGGGUUGCCACUAUAUAUUUUUAGUUCUUCACAGGGCAACAAAAUUGUUUCAUGGGUAUUAUAAACUUUUAAAAACACUGAGUUAUUUGCUCCUCCCUUAAGAUAUUGGCCCUGAAUUGAAAAUCUUUUGUGCAAGACAACUCUAGGAGUAAUUAUGUAUCUAUCAAAGUUAUUGAGCAGAUUUAAGCGUGCACAAAAUUUUGUAACCACAGAAGUAAAUUCAAUGGCCCACCUCCUUGGUUGGGAUGAUGCCCAUAUUCAAUGUUUAGCCAUUUCUAUCACAAAACCAACCAAAUUAUAAGAGUUCAAGUGUAGAAACGAUCAACUAGCAAUCAAGUUUCCAGACUUGAGCCCAUAUAAUCCCGGUAGUCAACUGAAAUCACGAAGGACUUCAAACCAACUUGCAACAAACCAAGAUCAUAAUAGUUCAACACAACACAGCGAUUGUUACAUAGUUCAUACAUUGCCGAUGAAGCGGCACCACAUCGGAGUUGCUUAAUUAUUACAACAUAAGUUCAAAGUAGCGGAAGCAAGAUAGUUCACAACCACACAUUUCACAAGUUUUUGUUACUGCCAGAGUCUCAUCUCAUCCACCAAAAGCAUCGGGGUACGAAGUUGUUAGAGAACCGUGCCCAACGGUUUAGUCCUCAUCCCCAGCGGGAUGGAGACAGGUCUUGCAGAAGCCAUCAUAAAAGACAUCAUCUGCAACAGGUGGGAAUAAACCCUGAGUACGAGGAUGUACUCAGCUAGACUUACCCGUCUAGUAAAACACAAAGACACCAAGGAUCAUGCAAGGCUGAGUAUAAAGUGUAGCUGGCUUGACUCAUCAUUUGCCAAAAGCUUAAGUGGAUACUACAUCAUUUGUAUGACAUCAUAUUAAUCAUCAUUAGCCUACCACUAGAUUAGCACCUGGACUAAACACUUCACUUGAUUAUUACAAGCAAUAAUAACCAUAUCAAGUUUAUCAUAUGAUCUUCCUUGCUAUCAUCAACAUCAUUAUCAAGAACCAUUGUACUUAGUGAAUGCUACGUUUGCCGCUGCUCUGUCAAGUUCUCACUAUCCGGGAGAGACGGCGAUUCGAAUCGAUUCCUAUCCAGCUGGAGGGUUAUUCCUAGCACUCACCUAAGCAACCCCGUCGGAGAGCAAGCGGGUCACCUUUGGUACGACUCAGGAAU
rnacentral:lncRNA from 1 species